rnacentral:rRNA from 1 species
AAUGAACGUUGGCGGCGUGGAUUAGGCAUGCAAGUCGUACGGGCCGCAAGGCCAGUGGCGCAAGGGUGAGUAAGGCGACGGUAACCAACCCCAUGACUGGGUAUAGCCGCGGGAAACCGCGGGUAAUCCCCAGCGACGUCCCGGGACGGCAUUGUCCUGGGACCAAAGCCCCGGCGUCGUGGGACGGGCUGUCGUGGUAUUAGCUUGUUGGCGGGGUAACGGCCCACCAAGGCUGCGAUGCCUACCGGGCGUGCGAGCGUGGCCCGGCACACUGGGACUGAGACACUGCCCAGACUCCUACGGGAGGCUGCAGUCGAGAAUCUUCGGCAAUGGGCGGCAAGCCUGACCGAGCGACGCCGCGUGGAGGACGAAGG